AUGGCUAAGAUCAAAACUCAGGUGACAGCAAAUGCUGGUGAGGAUGUGGAGAAAGAGGAACACUCCUCCAUUGUUGGGUUGUGUAUAUUCUGUGUGACUGUAACCCAGCUCUUGGAGGGUGGAGAAUCAGAAAUAAAAUAUUUUCCUCAACCACAUAACAAGUUUAAGUGUUUAGGAGGUUCUCGGCAUCCCAUCAUACUUCAGUGUUCUGCUCAUGUGCUGGAGAUACAGACCUGUGUUGGUACCUUCUUUCUGCAAGUGGGGAUGAAGGAUGCAAAGGAUGCUGGCUGA
rnacentral:lncRNA from 1 species